GUGUCUGUGGCGGUGGGAUCCCGCGGCCGUGUUUUCCUGGUGGCCCGGCCAUGCCUGAGGUUUCUCCCUGAGCCGCCCCUCUGCGGGCUCCCAGACGGAAUGAAGUUGAUAAUAGUGAGACCUUGUUGGUACAAGACUCUGUAACAUAACCUGCGCUUCUCAACAAAGAAUUGCUUUUCUGACUUCUGCACUCAAUAGCAAGACAAAUCUCUCCUCUGUCUUUUUCUUAUCAGACUACUCAACAUGAAGGCAAUAAGAAUGAAGACCUUUAUGUAUAAUAAUUGACUUCCACUUAAUAAAUAAGGUUACUUGGUACACUGGUCGACAAAACCUUGAAAUGUUGAUGUUUAAGGGCUGUUGAUUGCUGGCAACAAAGAAGUCCAACUGUGCUGGUACCCGAGAUAGCGUCUCCACAUUUUCUUCCAGGAUCAUCACCUUUGUUGUAAAUAGCUCCCACAUAGUGUGAACAGAAGUCAUAUGUUUUAGAUUUUCUGCCUUGGCACCC
rnacentral:lncRNA from 1 species